GCUGAGUGGCUCAGCGGUUAGAGCACAUGGCAUAAUUUUGGAGCAGUGUGGGGACCUGGGUUCAAAUCCCGGCCAUCG